ACUGUAACGACCCAACUUUUCUGGGUAAGUCGAGGUCGUUAAUUUUUGACAAAAGACUUUGGUUGAUACAAAUUGAAACAUAAGUCAAUUUAAAAACAAAACAUGUCAGGCCUGAUUUUCAAAUAUUCAAGAAAACUUAACAAUAACACUAUUUACAAAUAAAAGUUUGUAAACUAAGUUUUAGUACAUCUUAAACCUUAAAAGAAAUCAUAAGCGGAAGCAAAAUAACACAUUUCCUAUGGCAAUCACGCUUCCUUCCUGCCCCUCGCCGGUUUGCCACCUUUAUUUCCUUUGCCUGAAAAUUAAACAUAAGAAGGGUGAGUAUAACAAUACUCAGUAAGAGACCCUCUACUGGUCUCGUCAGGGGAAAAUAAAUUGUUAAAGUUCUAUUGGGACACCCUGUACAGUCGCAGUCUUGUGAUCCCGUAGGAUACACAUCUCAGUCUAACGCCCCGAAGGACGUACAUAUCAGUCUGACGCCCCGAGGGACGUACAUAUCAGUCAAGUGUUCUGCAGAACACAUAUCAGUCAAAUGUUCCCGAAGGUGCAAAAUAAAUUGGUGAUCCCGUGGGACACCUACAAGGUAAUCAUCCCAAUACAACCUAACAAUUUAUCCCCUCAUUCCAUUCAACCCAUCUUUCAGAUACUUCAAAACAUAGAGUUCUUUCUCUCAACGUCCUAACAGUCAACUUAUCUCACUUUAGUCAUAUGUCUCUCAAUAAUAUACUAAUACGUCAGUCAAUCAAACUAUACAGUCAAUACACCCCUCAGAUCACCAGCACACAGUCAUACUUUAGCGUAACGACACCCAAUCUAAACGACAAUCACAAGAUCGCAUCUGCAUCUCAUACAAGCAUAAUCUACAAUUUUCGUCCUGUCCACAUCCACCCACAUAUAUAUAUAUUCCAUGACAAUCACAAUAUGCAUUCAACAUUAAGUCUACUUCAAUUCAUAUGCAUAUAUAUAUUUUCAGUCAAUCCACAGUAUACAUUCAACACCGAAUCUACACCCAUACGUGUAUAUACAUAUGUAUCAUCUCAACAUCUUUACUCAGUCAGAGAUAAUCAUUCAGACAUACAAUUCACAAUCAUAAGUGAGUCCAGUAGAAAAUCCCUUACCUUCAAAUUUGUUAAGCUCCUUAACCACGUUGAAGUCUAUGAAGAACGAACCUAAACAUUAAGACAAUUUCUCAAUAAUUCUCUUCAACGCAUCAGUCAUUUAAAUUCAACCCAAUGUGAAUCUUUUUGCAACUUACCGAAAUCUUCGCGAAAGAAAUCGAGCAGUGGCUUUGCGAAGAGAUGACGUGCGACGGAGAGACCGUAUACAGAUGGCCGGAGAGUCAAGGUGACGCGUACGGCUGCCUCGCGAACUGGCCGAUGGUUGCAGCGACGUCCGGCUGGGUUUGGACGGAACGGAGAGGAAAAGAGAAGAUGGAGAUGGCCGACGGCGGUUGCUGUGCGAACGGAUGGGGCGGCUGGCUGCGGUUGGCUGCGGCAGGACGGGAAGAAGAAUAGGGAAAUGGGUGGGCGGCUGCUAGGGUACCGGAAGGAGAAGAAAAGAAAAAUGAGGGAGGGGUUGUGUGCGGCGCUCGCGCGAGAGGAAGAAGGAAGGAAAAAUAUAUUCUUUUCUUUUCUUUUCUUUUUAUUUAAAUUAAGUAUAAAAAUAUAUAUAUAUAUAUAUAUAAUUAAAAACAAAUAUAUAUAUAUACAUACCUUUGGGGCAUUACAUUCUUCCUCCUUAAGAAACUUUCGUCCUCGAAAGUUUUACUCCUGAAAUAACUCUGGAUAACGAGUCCUCAUCUCUUCCUCUCGCUCCCAUGUCGCCUCUUCAAUUCGAUGAUUCCGCCACAAAACCUUUACUAAUGGAAUGCUUCUAUUACGAAGCAUCUUUACCUCUCUAGCCAGAAUCUCCACAGGUUGUUCUACAUAGCUCAAAUGCUCAUCAAUCUCCAAGGGUUCAUAGUCCACUACAUGAGACGUAUCGGCCACAUACUUCCUCAACAUCGAAACAUGAAAAACAUUAUGAACUGCAGAGAGAGAUGGUGGUAAUGCCAAGCGAUACGCCACAACACCAACCCUCUCUAAGAUCUCAAAUGGUCCAACAAAACGAGGACUUAACUUUCCUUUCUUCUCAAAACGCAUAACACCCUUCAUAGGUGCUACCUUCAAGAAUACCUUUUCUCCCACAUCGAACUUAAGGUCUUUUCGCCGUACAUCCGCAUAACUCUUCUGUCUACUCUGCGCUGUUUGCAUACGUGCUCUAAUCUUUUGAAUAGCCUCAUUAGUAGACCGAACUAAUUCAGGUCCCAUCAAUCUAUGUUCACCAACCUCACUCCAACAAACAGGGGUUCUACAACAUUUGCCAUAUAAAGCCUCAAAUGGUGCCAUACCGAUGGUAGCCUGGAAACUGUUGUUAUAAGCAAACUCCAUCAAAUGUAGAUGAGAGUCCCAACUACCUGGAAACUCUAUAACACAAGCUCGUAGCAUAUCCUCUAAAACUUGGUUCAAACGUUCAGUUUGACCAUCAGUCUGUGGAUGAAAGGCUGUACUGAAAUCCAAUCUCGUACCCAUAGCAGUCUGAAGUCCCUUCCAAAACUUGGAAGUAAACCGUGCAUCCCUAUCAGAAACAAUCGAUACAGGCACUCCAUGCAGUCUCACAAUCUCAGUUAAAUACAACUCUGCCCACUUACUAGCAGUAUAAGUGGAUUUUCCUGGUACAAAAUGUGCCGAUUUUGUAAGCCUGUCUAUGACAACCAGAAUCACUGUGAAACCCUUCAGGGUCUUAGGCAGCCCUGAAAUAAAAUCCAUCGACACAUUCUCCCACUUCCACUCUGGCACACUUAAAGGUUGUAAUAAACCUGCUGGUUUCUGUCUAGGUGCCUUAACUUGCUGACAUACUAGACACUUACUAACAAAUUCCGCCACUUCUCUUUCAUAUUCCGCCACCAAUAAAAUCGUUUUAGAUCCUGAUACAUUUUCGUGCUACCAGGAUGCAUGGAAAAUGGGGAAUUAUGGGCUUCAUCUAGUAAGUCAAUCUUAACUGUACUGUUCGCUGGCACACAUAAACGUCUCUCAAACAUCAACCCACCAUCAGAGGAUAUGGAGAACUCAUCAGUCUGCCCUGUUUCAACAAGGCGACGUCUCUCCAUCAAAUAAGGAUCAUUACUCUGAGCAUCAACAAUCUUGUGCCUCAGAGUCGGUUGCACCGUUAAUUGAGCUAGCUGUGAGGUGACUCUCCCCACAGACACUGCAAUCUCAGCUCUCUCCAAGUCUCGAUGUAAUGGUACCUGUCUAGUAAUGAGUGCUGUCAAAAUGUGAUACUUUUCUACGAAGAGCACCAACUUCCACAUUCGCCUUACCUAGAUGGUACAAAAUCUCACAAUCAUAGUCAUUUACUAACUGAAACCAUCUUUGCUAUCUCAUACUCAACUUCUUUUGAGUGAAGAAGUAUUUUAUACUCUUUUGGUUAGAAAAUAUCUAUAUCUUUUCAUCAUACAUAUAGUGCCUUCAAAUCAUUAAUGUAAAAACCACAACUGUCAAUUUCAUAUCAUAAGUUGGACAAUUUUCCUCAUGACUCUUCAACUGACGAGGAGUACAAGCAACUACUUUAACUUGUUGAAUCAUAAUACCUUUUAAGCUUUCCUAAAAGCAUCACUAUAAAUUACGAAACUUUCUGAACCAUCAUGUACGGUAAGCACGGGAGUUGUACAAGCUUCGGCUUAAGAUCCUGAACACUAUCCUCAUAGGCUUUGUCCCAAACAAACGGAGUCCCUUUUCUUAGUUAACUGAGUCAAAGGAGUAGCUAUACGAGAAAAUUCUUAUAUAAACUGUUAGUAAUAACCUGCUGAACCCAAAAAGACUACGAACCUCACUGACUAUGAAAGGUUGAGGCCAACUGGUAACGACUUCAAUCUUUUAUGAGAUCCACAUAAAUGUCAUCUCUAGAUACCACAUGGCUUGGAAAGAUACUUGGCCUCAUUCAAAACUCACAUUUUGAAAACUUUGCAUACAAUUUGUUGACUCGAAGAGCCUCUAAAACCAUGUUAAAUGCUCCUCAUGCGUUGUCUCUAUUUUGGAAUAAAUUAAGAUAUCGUCAAUAAAUACAAUUAUGAAAGUGUCUAAGAGAUCGUUAAACACUUUGUUCAUCAAGUCGUAAACAUUGUUUGAGCAUUUGCCCACUCAAAAGACAUCAUAAUGAACUCGUGAUGUCCAUAUCUCGAACGAAAAUCUGCCUUAGGAAUGUCACUGUUCUCCAAUCCUCAACAAGUCAUAACCUGAAUGUAAUUCAAUCUUAAAGAACACGGACUUAUUGCAGUUGAUCAAACAAAUCCUCAUUCAUUGGUAAAAGAUAUUUAUUCUUAACCGACACCUUAUUCAACUUUCUACAAUCAAAACAUAAGUGCAUCGACCCAUCUUUCUUCUUAAUAAACAAAAAUUGGUGCACCCCAAGAUAACAUACUUCGUCGAAUGUAGUCCUUGUUAAACAUUUCUUUCAAUUGCACCUUCAAAUCUUUCAACUCUGUUGGGGCCAUUUUGUAUGAAGCUUUAGAUAUAGGAACGAGUUUAACUCUAUCUCAAUAACAAGACCAAUUUCUGUUUAGCGCGGUAAUCUUAGAAACUCUUCUAGAAAAAUAUCAUAAUACUUUUUCACCACUGAUUCAAAUAACAAAGAAACAUCGACUUCUCUGGUGUCUACCACACUAGUCAAAUACAACAGGUACCCUGGUCAAGCAACUUACUAACCUUCAUAGCUGGGAUAACUUUUAGCGAAACGAUAGUUCCAACCUCUUUGUACUUGAAACUAGCCUCUGGAGAAGGAUUAGAAACUACAUUUUCGCUGAACAUUUUAUGUUUACAUGGUUAAACUACAUUCCAAUUUUCAAACUCCAAACUAGUAACUUUUCAUUCACGAGAAACUCAAAAUUGUUUCUUAAAGUCACAUCAAGACAACCAUGCUCAUCUUCCUUGUUUCUUUUCCAAUACCUCCAUUCUAAAACCAUUUAAUGUGUUUCGUAUAAACUUGACAGUGUAUUUAGUCCUCUUUAAAACCACCUACAUAACUUAUUUUUCUUAGAUUUCCAAUCACAAAACAGACAAUUUCGCUAACAACGUCUUACUUUUCUACUACUCGACCACUCCUUUGAACAUCUCUACAUGGCAACAUUUUUCCUAAAUUUCACCAUUAAAUCAUAACAUUCAUGUACUUCUAGUUUAACUUAGGCAAGGUCAUAUACAUAAACCAUACAUAUAAGCAUAAAGCAUACCUGACGAGAGACGAAGGGUCGCGUUAGCCAUAGGAACACAAAAACAUAGACUUACAUCGU
rnacentral:lncRNA from 1 species